CUGGCUCAGGACGAACGCUGGCGGCGUGCCUAACACAUGCAAGUCGAGCGGGGACAUUGCGACGGAGGCGAAGUACUCGUACGGAGUCAAAGAUGUAAUGUUCUAGCGGCGGACGGGUGAGUAACGCGUGAGCAACCUGUCCCUUACAGGGGGAUAACACAGCGAAAGUUGUACUAAUACCGCAUAAGACCACAGGAUGACAUCGUCCAGGGGUCAAAGGAGCAAUCCGGUAAGGGGUGGGCUCGCGUCCGAUUAGAUAGUUGGUGAGGUAACGGCCCACCAAGUCGACGAUCGGUAGCCGACCUGAGAGGGUGAUCGGCCACAUUGGGACUGAGACACGGCCCAAACUCCUACGGGAGGCAGCAGUGGGGAAUAUUGGGCAAAUGGGGGAAACCCUGACCCAGCAACGCCGCGCGAGGGAAGAAGGUUUUCGGAUCGUAAACCUCUGUCCCAGGUGAAGAGGAAGAGACGGUAGCCUGGGAGGAAGCCCCGGCUAACUACGUGCCAGCCGCGGC
rnacentral:rRNA from 1 species